CAGGGUCCCCGCCAGCCUCUACCUCUCUGGCUGUCAGCGGUGGGCGCUGCCUGGGGGCGGUGGUCCCGGGAGCCUGAGAGCGUCCACCCUCAUGCAAGCAGGCGCUGGGAAGUGCCUGACCUCUGCCAGGCGCUGUCCUCCACACCGCCCAAGCUCCCCAACCGCGCCCAGCCUCAGUUUCCCCAUCUGGUCACCAGGGAUUAGCCGCGUCCUCCACAACAGGCAGACUGUGCUCGGCACUCAGCUGACUUCCUGUCCCGGGAGCGGCUGCGGGUCUGCAGGAGCAGGGCGGCCCCUUCCUGUGGUUCAGAACUGUGAGAACAUCAAUGUCUGUUGUUUCAAACACCCGCCCUGGUUCUUUGUGACGGCCGCCCUGGGAAAUUCCUGUAAGCCCAAAUGUCAAGCAGAGGGCAGCUGAGGAAAACAAGAAGGAAAUACACAGAAAGCAAGACUUGGAAGAGACUGAGGAGGCAGGAAGGAAGCUUCCUCCACGUCUUCCUCUCCCCUGGACGGGAGCCGCUGGAUGAGUGACCGAGACUGGCCAGGCCAUGCUCCUCCCAGCCAGAGCGUGUGAGGUUGGGUGUCCGGGGCACGGGGCAGGGAGACCCCGCUGAUAAUAAUAAAC